GUCUAUGGCCAUACCACUCUGAAUGCGCCCGAUCUCGUCUAAUUUUGGAAGCUAAGCAGGGUUGGGCCUGGCUAGUACUUGGAUGGGAGACCACCUGAGAAUACCAGGUGCUGUAGGCU